rnacentral:rRNA from 1 species
AUUGAACGCUGGCGGCAGGCCUAACACAUGCAAGUCGAACGAGUGGCGGACGGGUGAGUAAUGUCUGGGAAACUGCCCGAUGGAGGGGGAUAACUACUGGAAACGGUAGCUAAUCCCGCAUACCAUCGGAUGUGCCCAGAUGGGAUUAGCUAGUAGGUGGGGUAAAGGCUCUCCUAGGCGACGAUCCCUAGCUGGUCUGAGGGGAUGACCAGCCACAUUGGAACUGAGAUACGGUCCAGACUCCUACGGUAGGCAGCAGUGGGGAAUAUUGGACAAUGGGCGCAAGCCUGAUGCAGCCAUGCCGAGUGUAUGAAGAAGGCCUUCGGGUUGUAAAGUACUUUCAGCGAGGAGGCGUUACUCGCAGAAGAAGCACCGGCUAACUCCGUGCCAGCAGCCGCGGUAAUAC